CUCUGCGGGAGGAGGGCGGCGCUUAUCAUCUCCAGCACGCCGUCUCCACCCCAGCCACCUGCGUUCCUCAUCACACUGGAGCACACCUACAGGGACGACGGUGAGCGUGUCUCGUUGCUGCGAACUACACCACUGCUCGCUACACACUUCACACCUUGCCGCUGCGGUCGCAGCGUAGCGUCUGCCGUCGGAAUGAGUGCUCUCGGUCACCUUCCCACGCGAGACUCCUACCGUGCGCAACAGAUGGCUCUGCACAUCGCUCUGCCAACACCGUUACAGCCCAGCAACGACGAGUAGCAGGAAGAGCAGAGCAACGCGCAGUGCAGCGCUACGGGCAGGAUGAGCCCACAGCAAGGACUGGCGCAGACGCUGGCGCGCUGCCACCCGCUGCUACUGGAGCGCCAGCCGCCAGCCGCCAGCCGCCCACUUUCUACGCUGCGCCACUGCUGCUGCGCACAAGUG